rnacentral:rRNA from 1 species
CCUACGGGGGGCUGCAGCUAAGAAUAUUCCGCAAUGGACGAAAGUCUGACGGAGCGACGCCGCGUGGAUGAAGAAGGCCGUGAGGUUGUAAAAUCCUUUUGUCGAUGAAGAAUAAGUAUGGUAGGGAAUGACCGUAUGAUGACAUUAGUCGAUGAAUAAGCCCCGGCUAAUUACGUGCCAGCAGCCGCGGUAACACGUAAGGGGCAAGCGUUGUUCGGAAUUAUUGGGCGUAAAGGGCAUGUAGGCGGUUUGGUAAGCCUGGUGUGAAAGGCUGC